AUAUUGUAUUAGGGGAGCCGGGAGAGCCCGGCUGAGAGGGUACCCAAAAUGUACCGACCCUUGAACCUGAUCUGGGUAAUGCCAGCGUAGGGAAUAGCUUUGCAUGGUCA
rnacentral:ncRNA from 2 species